UACGUAGGGUGCGAGCGUUAAUCGGAAUUACUGGACGUAAAGCGUGCGCAGGCGGUUCGUUGUGUCUGUGGUGAAAGCCCCGGGCUUAACCUGGGAAUGGCCAUGGAAACUGGCGAGCUGGAGUGUGGCAGAGGGGGGUGGAAUUCCGCGUGUAGCAGUGAAAUGCGUAGAGAUGCGGAGGAACACCGAUGGCGAAGGCAGCCCCCUGGGCUAACACUGACGCUCAGGCACGAAAGCGUGGGGAGCAAACAGG
rnacentral:rRNA from 1 species